rnacentral:lncRNA from 1 species
UGCACGUUAGUCAUAGUGGUGUUGAAAUAUAAUUAGGACCAUAAAAUAAGGUCAUUUGAUACAUAGAAAGGUUGGAAAAUGUUUGGAGUUAUGUUUUGGAUUGUAAAAGCACAUCACGAAUUGGAAAUAAGGUCAUACGCAGCACAUGGGAGACACCAUCUGCAGAGCUCUUUCUAGGUGCCAACUAUUUUGUUUGUACAAUUCGUUGUGUACGAUAAAACAGAGUGCUGUGCAAU